rnacentral:tRNA from 2 species
GAGACGGUAGCUCAGUCGGUAGAGCAACGCCCUUUUAAGGCGUGGGUCCUGGGUUCGAGCCCCAGCCGUCUCA